UACGAAGGGGGCUAGCGUUGUUCGGAUUUACUGGGCGUAAAGCGCACGUAGGCGGAUCGUUAAGUCGGGGGUGAAAUCCUGGAGCUCAACUCCAGAACUGCCUUCGAUACUGGCGAUCUAGAGUCCGGAAGAGGUGAGUGGAACUCCUAGUGUAGAGGUGGAAUUCGUAGAGAUCAGGAAGAACAUCGGUGGCGAAGGCGCUCUGCUGGACCAUAACUGACACUCAGGGACGAAAGCUAGGGGAGCGAAUGGG
rnacentral:rRNA from 1 species